rnacentral:piRNA from 1 species
UAGAAAAAAAUUUAAUGUUUAUGUAGUGC